rnacentral:tRNA from 1 species
GCCGGGGUAGCUCAGUGGUAGAGCAUCGCACUGAAAAUGCGGGUGUCGGUGGUUCAAAUCCGCCCCUCGGCACCA